rnacentral:rRNA from 1 species
GGUUCGAUCCUGGCUCAGGUUGAACGCUGGCGGGAUGCUACAUGCAAGUCGAACAGCGGACUUCCGGUCUGGUGGCGAGUGGCGAACGGAGGCAGGUAAUGUAUCGGAACGUGCCUAGUAGCGGGGAUAACUACGCGAAAGCGUAGCUAAUACCGCAUACGCCCUUCGGGGAAAGCGGGGGACCUUCCGGGCCUCUCCGCACUAUUAAACAGCCGAUAUCGGAUUAGCUAGUUGGUGGAAGUAACGGCUCACCAAGGCGACGAUCCGUAGCUGGUUUGAAGGACAGCCACACUGGGACUGAGACGUAGACUCCACCACGGGAGGCAGCGGUGGGGAAUUUUGGACAAUGGGGGAAACCCUGAUCCAGCCAUCCCGCGUGUGCGAUGAAGGCCUUCGGGUUGUAAAAGCACUUUUGGCAGGGAAAGAAGCGGCGGGAUAAUACCUGCAACUGACAGUACCUGCAGAAUAAGCACCGGCUAACUACGUGGCAGCCGCGGUAAUACGUAAGUGCAAGCGUUAAUCGGAAUUACUGGGCGUAAAGCGUGCCAGGCGGUUCCGGAAGAAGAUGUAGAAAUCCCAGAGCUUAACUUUGGAACUGCAUUUUAACCACCGAGCUGGUGUGUCAGAGGGAGGUGGAAUUCCGCGUGCGCAGUGGAGCGUAGAUAUGCGGAGGAACACCUGAUAAUAAUCCUAAGGAUAGCUGCUGACGCUCAUGCACGAAAAGCAGUAAGAACAAACAGAGGAUUGAUACCCUGGUAGUCCACGCCCUAAACGAUGUCAACUAGCUGUUGGGGCCUUCAGGCCUUAUUGUGCAAUAAGCGUGAAGUUGACCACGCUGCACCUGGGAUACGGUCGCAAGAUUAAAACUCAAAGGAAUUGACGGGGACCCGCACAAGCGGUGGAUGAUGUGGAUUAAUUCGUUACAGCACGAAAAACCUUACCUACCUCCAACCGUAUCUGGAAUCCCGAAGAGAUUUGGGAGUGCUCGCAAGAGAACCGGAACACAGGUGCUGCAUGGCUGUCGUCAGCUCGUGUCGUGAGAUGUUGGGUUAAGUCCCGCAACGAGCGCAACCCUUGUCAUUGAUUUGCUACGAAGGGCACUCUAAUGAGACUGCCGGUGACAAACCGGAAGGUGGGGAUGACGUCAAGUUAUCAUGGCCCUUAUGGGUAGGGAUUCACACGUCAUACAAUGGUCGGACGAAGAGGAUUAUGGCGCCCGCGAGGCAAUCCCAAAGCCGAAUCGCAGUCCGGAUCACCAGUCUACAUCAAACUGCGUAGAGUCGGAAUCGCUAGUAAUCGCGGAUCAGCAUGUCGCAGUGAAUACGUUCCCAGGUCUUGUACACACUGCCCGUCACACCAUGGGAGUGGGUUUUGCAGAAGUAGCUGGCAUGGGGAGGGCGAUUGCAAGUUCAUGGUGGGGUGAAGUCAGCAGCAGAGUAACCUGUUGCCACCUGUUGAGG